rnacentral:rRNA from 1 species
UACGUAGGGUGCAAGCGUUAAUCGGAAUUACUGGGCGUAAAGCGUGCGCAGGCGGUGCUGUAAGACAGGCGUGAAAUCCCCGGGCUCAACCUGGGAACUGCAUUUGUGACUGUGGGGCUAGAGUACGGUAGAGGGGGAUGGAAUUCCGCGUGUAGCAGUGAAAUGCGUAGAUAUGCGGAGGAACACCAAUGGCGAAGGCAAUCCCCUGGACCUGUACUGACGCUCAUGCACGAAAGCGUGGGGAGCAAACAGG